rnacentral:rRNA from 1 species
GGUGUGAGCAUCCCCGAUGGGGGUAUAUCAACCACCUGCGCCCUGCCUCUUCUAGGGUCGUUCGGCUAGCUCCAAGGUUAAACUUCUUAGACACGUCCUACCCCUCUUUCAACGGGGGAAAACGGGGCCGGCACCACAGCUGCGUCUGCCGCCGGCCUUCCUUUGCGUUUUGUCGGAGGAACCGAGGCGAGUGGGGGGCCUUCGCGACCCACGCCCGUUCGCCACCGACCCGCAGAGACGGGUAGCUGUAUUAGACGGAGUAAGAGGCCGUCGAGCAGCGGUAGCCGCCGCCGCCGCUGCAACACCUGAUGUAGCGGAAGGCGCGGCAGACGAAGCCGACCGCGCGGACGUGCGGGUGCGGCGCACUGGGGUGUGACGCCCUAGGCGCGGAGGCCGGCGCGCGGACCCAACGCGACACGCUGCCACUGCGCCAUGCGGGCCUGCUGCGGACGCUCUAGGGGAAGAAGGUGUGCGCGUGCCGGUCCACGUAGGCGCAAGCGGACGGUCUCGAGGCUGCGGUGUCUUAGCAGCCGAAGUGGCUGCCGGAGCAGUAGGAGGACGUGUUCUCGUGGUGGCGACAGGCGCACGAAGUGGGGAAGUGCGAACAGCGGCAACUGGAGGGCGGGGAGCGGCGGCACAUGGCGCUCCACUAGCCCGGUUUCUUCGUGGUAGACGAACUUUACUUACGACACCAUACGUCGUCGCGCUGGAGGCGCUUGAGGUAGCGACAGUACCAGACCAAGGUGAGCCGUUCCCACCACGAGCAGCGCCUCGGUCCAAGUCUGACCUUCCAUGAGGUAGCUCCCUAAAUACAAGCCUCGUACGACGUUAAGGUUCCUUCCGAGAUGCGGUGGAAGAGCCGAAGUUUUCUCUAGCACGUCGAUAUAGGUGGCUCUGUUGGUGCCGAACUCUUAAGCGACCACCAACGAGCAUAAGGUCUAUAUAAACCACUCGUGUAAAAGACAGUCAAAAAGGACCACCUCAGACCACCUGCUUACGACGAGCAACAUGUCAUAGGGGGACCAGUACCUUCUUUCUACCUUACCAGUGCUGUUCAUCCGAAGUCCGAGAUACGUCACCUAAACACGUCGUUUCCGUAACCAUUGAACUAAGGCCACUCGACGGAUCCACUAGCACGCAACAAAGAGUUGUCGCUAGCUACGGACCGACAAAGCCGGUCCCUGGAGGGAAGAGACUCGUCGUUGAGGUAGAUGAAGAGAAAUGGCCUGUCGGGACAACACCACGUGAGUAACUCCUGACCUAACAGCCUCGUCAACCGCCUCGUGACGGUUUAUGUGUUGAGCCACCUAUCCUAGGCGGGGAGACACGCGGGUAAAUCGUAACAACUAGUAGAAGAGUGGAUGACGGUAGGAAGAGUGACCUGACUUCCUGAGUACAAAGUACUCAUGGUAGUAUAUGGACUAAGAAAGUUCCUUAACUCCUUCUUGUAGGUCCGUUUUCUAAGUGCUGACGCCUAAGGCGCGUAGUACCCGGUCACUUUUUAGUUCCAAGACCUCUGUAUACGGUUUCUUCACCCCUCUCAGACUUCGGUACGACUCUUUAUCCCCGUGGUCGGACUUAUGUUGUCGGAUAAUAAGAUUGUCAGAGUAGGCCGGUGAUGGCCAGACGUUGCAGGCGUCGUCACACAGUAUUCUCGUACAAGACGUUGCAGGCGUCGUCACAUAGUAUUCUCGUACAAGCUGUCUACUACAUUUUGCCAACAACGUAAAAUUUUUUGACAGUAAACCCUAUGAAUUCGGUUUUUUAAACGAAG